CUGGGUACUGAUUACUUACAAUGGGCAUCAAUUCAUAGGGGCCAAAUUCGAAGGAUCUAUGAAGAGCAUGGGAUAGCACAUCAUCUUACCUCCGUCGUCCAUCCUCAAGCUAAUGGUGAAGUCAAGGUAACAAAUUAUACUAUCUUGUGAGGGCUGAAGAUCAGGUUGCAUAAAGCCAAAGGAUCUUGGGCCGACAAGCUUUAUCAUAUGCUUUGGGUAUAUAGGA
rnacentral:lncRNA from 1 species